GGACGCAUCACUGGUGUUCGGGUUGUCAUGCCAAUGGCACUGCCCGGUAGCUAAAUGCGGAAGAGAUAAGUGCUGAAAGCAUCUAAGCACGAAACUUGCCCCGAGAUGAGUUCUCCCUGAGACUUUAAGUCUCCUGAAGGAACGUUGAAGACGACGACGUUGAUAGGCCGGGUGUGUAAGCGCAGCGAUGCGUUGAGCUAACCGGUACUAAUGAACCGUGAGGCUUAACCUUACAACGCCGA
rnacentral:rRNA from 1 species